rnacentral:rRNA from 1 species
CCUACGGGUGGCAGCAGUGGGGAAUAUUGCACAAUGGGGGAAACCCUGAUGCAGCGACGCCGCGUGAGUGAAGAAGUAUUUCGGCAUGUAAAGCUUUAUCAGCAGGGAAGCAGAGAGACGGUACCUUACCAAGAAGCCUCGGCUAAAUACGUGCCAGCAGCCGCGGUAAUACGUAGGGGGCAAGCUGUAUCCGGGUUUACUGGGUGUAAAGGGAGCGUAGACGGGUGUGCAAGUCUGAAGUGAAAGCCCAGGGCUGAACCCUGGGACUGCUUUGGAAACUGUGGAGCUAGAGUGCUGGAGAGGUAAGUGGAAUGCCUAGUGUAGCGGUGAAAUGCGUAGAUAUUAGGAGGAACACCAGUGGCGAAGGCGGCGUACUGGACAGUAACUGACGUUGAGGCUCGAAAGCGUGGGGAGCAAACAGGAUUAGAUACCCGGGUAGUC